rfam:Hordeum vulgare subsp. vulgare, WGS project CAJW01000000 data, contig: morex_contig_47190
GCUGGGAAGAGAAAGAAAGAGAGCGUAAGAGCAUUAGGAAUGGGAACAUGAAGGAAAACACUGCUUAUUUGUUUCCACAUCUUUUGUUGGAGGUGCAAAUAUUUUGUUAGGAUGCUUUCCUGAUGCCUCUCAUUCUUAUCGUUCUUGUGCACUCCUUCCUCUUCCUUUUGGCU